AUGAUUUUACUAGUUUUUGUGCCUGCCUGCUCUGCAAUCCACGGCAACGCAGAGUGAGCUGGAGUUUUUUUGACUCAUGAAAUCAUCAACGGAAUUGUUAACUUGGUUCCAAUGGCAGGAUCAUUAUUACAGGUGAUGAUGCACAAGACAGAAAGAAUCUAGCUUUAUGGUCAGUCCCAAAUUGAGUUUAUGUUGCUGGUAGUUAUGAAAAUCAUCUUUUUCCUUAUAAACUGAACUAAUUUGAAAUGAAGGUCAUUGAUACCUGAUCUGGAAUCCUGCAAUGCCAUUUUGCACAGUCUAUUUUCAGAGAACCACUACAGCAAGGUCAAGAAUUAUGAGCUUGUUUUCUGUUCCCAAUAAGGUUACUAUCAUCUUCCAGGAGACAAAACAGGAGACAUGCCAUGGUGUGGAAAUUCCCUUAGAAGACAACUGAUAAUCAACUAUGAAAGAAAUCCCCAAGUCCAAGAACAUUGAGAAGGUCAGGAUGCCCUAUCUUUGUCAACUAUGAAACACUGAACAUAUCUGGUACAGAUGAUCAUGGCAUGUCCCACUGCCAAAACGUUAUGUAAACUGAGAAAUCAUAAAUUACGACACGCAAGAGAAUGCAAAAUAUAAAUGCUGAACUGCCUCACCUUCAGUUUUCGUUACAGUAGCUUCCAUGCAAGGAUCUCGAAGUACAGCAGCUCAGUGGACUAGCUAAAUAGUAUACCCAUUUUACAGAAGGGUUAAGUGCCGGAGCAAACCUAUACCUCAGUCCACUGUCAGUGCUACAUGGAAGACUCACUAAUCUACUUCCUCAAACUUGCCAUACCUCCCUGCAUCCAUUCCCGUGUAUCUGACAAGUCUUUCCAGCAUAUCAUCCAGGAUCAGAACUCAAAGAAUUUACAAUCAAUGCAUAGGAUGAGAGAACAAUCUACACAUAGGAUGAUACAAUAAUAGAUGGAUAAAAGAAAUAUCUUUUUCUAUGGAGGAAGACAAGAUAAAUAGAGAAGCAAUCGUCAUUAUUUUAACAGGGAUUGUUACUGUAUGUUGAAAAACAAACCUUUAAUUGAGCCACUAUGGACAUGCACAUGUCUAAAAAAAAGCAGACCAUUAAAACUUAACUCUUCUUGAUGGGAUUUUCAAAAAGUGAGUUGUCCAAUGGUAAACACACCACUGACUUCAAGGGGGCAGAUUAGGCCAACGACUUCUUUUGAAAAUCUCACUACCUCCAACUACCCAGGAAGGCUGCCUUUAACUUGCAAGCAAAUCAGACCUGUUCUAAUAACUAAUUAAAAUAUUUUAAAUUGCAAACCAA